GCAUAUAUGCCAUGGAAUACUAUGCAGCAAUUAAAAAAGAAUGAAAUUCCGUAAUUUGUGGCCAUGUGGAUGAGCUCAGAGGAUAUUAUGUUAAGUGAAAUAAGCCAGGCACAGAAAGAUAAAUACCAUGUUUCCUCACUCACAUGUGGAAGCCAAACAAGCUGAUCUCAUAGAAAUACAGGAAUACCUUGUUUUAUUCAUCUUUGCUUUAUUGCAUUUUGCGGAUUUUUUUUUAACAAACUGAAGGUGGUUUUGUUGUUGUUUUUUUUUCAUAUGCUAGAGAAGGAAAAGAUUUCCUUAAUCAGGAGUAACUUCUUAUUUUGUAAAAUGGGACAGAUAUUCGUAUUCUGAUGCCCGGCCUUAGAAAGCUAUUCUACUCUUCCUUGCCAUCUAUGAUGCACCAGCCAGAUACUGUUCAAGGAAGGACUUUCUGCCCCAGCUGCUAGGAAUUCUAUGAGUGGACAAUCCUCAACUGGCAGCCCCUUCAAGGAUUGCCUCAGCUGCAGACAGCUGAUCUGUUCAAAGUUCACAUCCCUUCCUAGAUGAAACUCACAUCUAAUGACCAAUGCAGGCACAUAAAUAUCUGGACACUUCAACUCACGAGUGUCAACUUACAACUCUGCAAGGCUAUUCCAUCUUCAGAGCUCCUUGUAUAUACUUCUAGAUGUGCAUCACCACUGGGUUUCUUCCUCUGAGUAGUUCUUCUUUCUCCUUCCUUCCAUAAAUAUUGAACCCAAGUAUUGAACUCCUUAAUAAGUAACCUGCACACUGAACUCCAACUCAGUCUGCUUCCAAGAAAACCCAACCUGUGACACCAUCACACUGGUUAUUUCUUUGAGACAGGCUGCUCUUUGACCUAUCCUCCUGGUGAAUACCUAAUGAUCCCCUAAGAAUCAAAACAAGCAUAACUUCUUCUGUUACCCUUUCCUUGAAUUUUCUCUUUCACUCCACCCCAACCAGUGUAGUUCAUAAUUACAUAAUCCUUUUGUGCUGCCAUUAUGUUUUGUAGAAAAUUAGAAAAUCCUGCCAAUACAGUAAUAACAAAAUAUUAUAUUAUUCAUUUAUCUGCCUGUAUCUCUUAAUUAGACCUUGUGCUUCUUCAUAUGAGAAUCUACGUCUCACAUGUCUUUCUAUCCCUACAAUAUAGCACAGUUACUGGCCCAUUAUAGGGCACAAUGACUAUUCAUAGGAUUACAAAUUUCAGUGGAGAAUGGGGAAUGAUGUUAUAGGUGGAAUGGAUAACUUAUAAAAAGGUAUCAAGUCAUGGCAAUGCAUUAUGUAUUAAUAUAUCAGUUAACAGUCUUUCAUUCAACAAAUAUUUUUGAGUACCUACUAUACAACAAUCACAUUUUGUAUGGGGCAACAUGAGAUGAACAAGACAGAUAUAGCCUCAGCCCUUAUAAUUGAUCAAAGAAGACAGAUAUCGAAUAAGUUAUUAAAAUAGUUAUAAGUAUUAAGAAGGAGAAGUACAGGGAAUUAUGUGAUUACAUAGCAGGACGGUCUGAUCUACUCUAGAAGGCUUAAAAGAAGACUUAACAGAAUAAUUAU
rnacentral:lncRNA from 1 species